AUGAACGCUGGCGGCGUGCCUAAUACAUGCCAGUCGAGCGAACAGAUAAGGAGCUUGCUCCUUUGACGUUAGCGGCGGACGGGUGAGUAACACGUGGGUAACCUACCUAUAAGACUGGGAUAACUUCGGGAAACCGGAGCUAAUACCGGAUAACAUUUGGAACCGCAUGGUUCUAAAGUGAAAGAUGGUUUUGCUAUCACUUAUAGAUGGACCCGCGCCGUAUUAGCUAGUUGGUAAGGUAACGGCUUACCAAGGCGACGAUACGUAGCCGACCUGAGAGGGUGAUCGGCCACACUGGAACUGAGACACGGUCCAGACUCCUACGAGAGGCAGCAGUAGGGAAUCUUCCGCAAUGGGCGAAAGCCUGACGGAGCAACGCCGCGUGAGUGAUGAAGGGUUUCGGCUCGUAAAACUCUGUUAUUAGGGAAGAACAAACGUGUAAGUAACUGUGCACGUCUUGACGGUACCUAAUCAGAAAGCCACGGCUAACUACGUG
rnacentral:rRNA from 1 species